rnacentral:rRNA from 1 species
CAUGCAAGUCGAACGAGCGAGAGAGAGCUUGCUUUCUCGAGCGAGUGGCGAACGGGUGAGUAACGCGUGAGGAACCUGCCUCAAAGAGGGGGACAACAGUUGGAAACGACUGCUAAUACCGCAUAAGCCCACGACCCGGCAUCGGGUAGAGGGAAAAGGAGCAAUCCGCUUUGAGAUGGCCUCGCGUCCGAUUAGCUAGUUGGUGAGGUAACGGCCCACCAAGGCGACGAUCGGUAGCCGGACUGAGAGGUUGAACGGCCACAUUGGGACUGAGACACGGCCCAGACUCCUACGGGAGGCAGCAGUGGGGAAUAUUGCACAAUGGGGGAAACCCUGAUGCAGCGACGCCGCGUGGAGGAAGAAGGUCUUCGGAUUGUAAACUCCUGUUGUUGAGGAAGAUAAUGACGGUACUCAACAAGGAAGUGACGGCUAACUACGUGCCAGCAGCCGCGGUAAAACGUAGGUCACAAGCGUUGUCCGGAAUUACUGGGUGUAAAGGGAGCGCAGGCGGGAAGACAAGUUGGAAGUGAAAUCCAUGGGCUCAACCCAUGAACUGCUUUCAAAACUGUUUUUCUUGAGUAGUGCAGAGGUAGGCGGAAUUCCCGGUGUAGCGGUGGAAUGCGUAGAUAUCGGGAGGAACACCAGUGGCGAAGGCGACCUACUGGGCACCAACUGACGCUGAGGCUCGAAAGUGUGGGUAGCAAACAGGAUUAGAUACCCUGGUAGUCCACACCGUAAACGAUGAUUACUAGGUGUUGGAGGAUUGACCC